GACGAACGCUGGCGGCGUGCCUAAUACAUGCAAGUCGAGCGAACAGACGAGAAGCUUGCUUCUCUGUUGUUAGCGGCGGACGGGUGAGUAACACGUGGAUAAUCUACCUAUAAGAGUGGGAUAACUUCGGGAAACGGGCGCUAAUACCGGAUAAUAUCUUGAACCGUAUGGUUCAAAAGUGAAAGACGGUCUUGCUGUCCCUAAUAGAUGGAUCCGCGCUGCUUUAGCUGGUUGGUAAGUUAAAGGCCUACCACGGCAACGAUGCAUGGCCGACCUGAGAGGGGGAUCGGCCACACGGGAACGGGAACACGGUCCAGACUCCUACGGGAGGCAGCAGUAGGGAAUCUUCCGCAAUGGGCGAAAGCCUGACGGAGCAACGCGGCGUGAGUGAUGAAGGUCUUCGGAUCGUAAAACUCUGUUAUUGGGGAAAAACAUAUUUGUAAGUAACUGUGCACAUCGUGACGGUACCUAAUCAGAAAGCCACGGCUAACUACGUG
rnacentral:rRNA from 1 species